GCAUGUGUGAACAGGGGAAGGCCUCCUUUGCCAUCAGUACUCAGUAGAAGGCACUGUGAACAUUCAGAGUUGCUGAGACUACAAGUUCCAGCAGGAUCGUGGCUGGCAUCAGAGGUUGGCAGCAGGAGAGAGUGCACAGGAGUGCCUGUAUGGAAUCUGAGCUACUCCAGCCCACCAUUUACAUGUACAGAGGACAACAUGUGGAGGCUCCACAAACAGAACUCUUAAGGGCCAGUUGCACAUUCAGAAGAAACUUGGAUUUGUAGAGAAAAAGCUGAGAAAAUAAACAUUCCUAAAAUAUAAUAUAAUGCUUAGUGAAGCUGCAGUCCUAUGAGCCCCCUGCUGAAUGAACAUGCAAUGGAGCAAGCCGAAGUUGCCCAUAGUACUUGAAGAACAAAGUGGGGAUCUUAAAUACAUAUUUACUUAUUUUAUUUAUAUCCUACUCCAGCUCAGGACCAAAGCAGACUAGAUAAUGGGAGAUCGACCACUGGAUCUCCACUAAGUUUGAUUUUUUUUUAAGUUCAAAAGCAAUCAGAUAAGAAAUCCAGAAGUUGGAGAAAGGACCCCAAACCCCCAAUGCCCUACCUCUGAAAAUGCCUCUAGAAAACAGAACUCUAGGACUUUCUUCUGAAAAUGCCUCCCUUGUUUAGUGGUUUGCUGGGAAAAUACCAGAAUGGAACAACAGGUCAUCAGGGGGAAGACAAGGUCCUUGGUCUUUUCAAAGAUGCUCACAAGAUCUACAGUCUCAGGUGGAUGUACUCAGCAUAACCUGCUCAGCUGUACAACUAGAACCAGCAUGCAGAAACAAUGUUUUUUCAAGUUUCCUUGGCAUAUUUUGAAUGAGCCCCUGUGGGGAACGCUUACAAAACCUUAUUAAAUUGAAACACGCUACGGU